ensembl:snRNA U2 U2 spliceosomal RNA
AUCGCUUCUCGGCCUUUUGGCUAAGAUCAAGUGUAGUAUCUGUUCUUAUCAGUUUAAUAUCUGAUAUGUCCUCCAGGUGAGGACAACAUAUUAAGCGGAUUUUUGAACACUGGAGGUGAAGGUGGGCUUGCUCUCUUCUCUCCAUGCAUUGACCCAGUAUUGCAGUGCUUCUGGGAACAGUGCCUCUGUC